UACGGAGGAUCCAAGCGUUAUCCGGAUUUAUUGGGUUUAAAGGGUGCGCAGGCGGGAGAUUAAGUCGGCGGUGAAAUUUUGCAGCUCAACUGUAAAAGUGCCUUCGAAACUGGUUUCCUUGAGUGUGGAUGAAGUAGGCGGAAUUUGUGGUGUAGCGGUGAAAUGCAUAGAUAUCACGAGGAACUCCGAUUGCGCAGGCAGCUUACUAAACCAUAACUGACGCUCAGGCACGAAGGCGUAGGGAUCAAACAGGAUUAGAUACCCGGGUAGU
rnacentral:rRNA from 1 species